CCGUCGGAGGGGCUCGCCUCGGCGCUGGUAAUGGUGAUGUCCUCCUUCCCCCAGAAGCUCCUCACGUCUGGCGGGACUGAGCUGAGCUGUCAGUGACAAGGGAGGAAGAGGAGGAGGGGUGAGGAAGGAGAGAAGGAAAGAGGAGGCGGUGUCCAAUGGUUACAGUCGCUCCUUCCCGCGCGCACGGCUGACUACGUCACCGGCCUCGUCAGCUAGCGUGAGGACUGCGGACGGAUUAUUAGAGGAUCAUCAUCAACAUCAUCGCCAUGGCGACGCGUGGCCCAACCCCUCUUCCGCUCCCUCCCUCCAGUGAAGUUGUGGGCGUGGUGGGCACGUUUCCAUCCGGCUCAUCAUGUUGCGAGCGAAGCAAAAGAGCCACGGGGGGCAUUUGUUCCGCGUGGACUCCCCCUCAGCUGCCAAACGUCAGACUAUUUUUAGACGCCGGCGGAGAAAGAGCGUGAGCUACGAAGCGGACCGAUGAAACCGGACUCAUGUCCUUCCUUUUGCUUUGACUUGCAAGCUUAAACUUGAUUCGAGCGCUCUAUGAUGGGAGGCUACCUGAAAGCUAACAUUCAAUAGCACGCGGGCUAACAAUUAGCAUCAACGUGGUGAUGUUAAAUGAAAGCAACAGCUACCCAAAUGUUGCUAAACACACUGAUGGACCAUAAUAUUGUUCCUCAUAUUCUUUAUCCCCUGCAAAGAACGACUGAUAUCAGUGCUGUACUAAUGAGCUGAGAGGACUCAAGCUGUUUUAGUGAAAUGCACAAUUGUGCCCGGCAUACAUUGUGUAUAUAUAGUUUUUUUUUUUAGCUGAUCCCCCCGCUAUUUUCAUGGAAAAAGCAUACUGAUUGUUCUUUUUCCAAUGGCAUCAAUUUUAUCUGGAGUCUCGCUAUUUGCAGUCCGGCCAGGUCCCUAAGCCUCAUUGUCUGUCUUGGACUGCCCC